rnacentral:rRNA from 1 species
AGAGUUUGAUCCUGGCUCAGAUUGAACGCUGGCGGCAUGCCUUACACAUGCAAGUCGAACGGCAGCACGAGAGCUUGCUCUUGGUGGCGAGUGGCGAACGGGUGAGUAAUAUAUCGGAACGUACCCUAGAGUGGGGGAUAACGUAGCGAAAGUUACGCUAAUACCGCGUACGAUCUACGGAUGAAAGUGGGGGAUCGCAAGACCUCAUGCUCAUGGAGCGGCCGAUAUCUGAUUAGCUAGUUGGUGGGGUAAAAGCUCACCAAGGCGACGAUCAGUAGCUGGUCUGAGAGGACGACCAGCCACACUGGAACUGAGACACGGUCCAGACUCCUACGGGAGGCAGCAGUGGGGAAUUUUGGACAAUGGGCGCAAGCCUGAUCCAGCAAUGCCGCGUGGGUGAAGAAGGCCUUCGGGUUGUAAAGCUCUUUUGUCAGGGAAGAAACGGUGGACUCUAAUACAGAUCACUAAUGACGGUACCUGAAGAAUAAGCACCGGCUAACUACGUGCCAGCAGCCGCGGUAAUACGUAGGGUGCAAGCGUUAAUCGGAAUUACUGGGCGUAAAGCGUGCGCAGGCGGUUGUGCAAGACAGAUGUGAAAUCCCCGGGCUCAACCUGGGAAUUGCAUUUGUGACUGCACGGCUAGAGUGUGUCAGAGGGGGGUAGAAUUCCACGUGUAGCAGUGAAAUGCGUAGAGAUGUGGAGGAAUACCGAUGGCGAAGGCAGCCCCCUGGGAUAACACUGACGCUCAUGCACGAAAGCGUGGGGAGCAAACAGGAUUAGAUACCCUGGUAGUCCACGCCCUAAACGAUGUCUACUAGUUGUCGGGUCUUAAUUGACUUGGUAACGCAGCUAACGCGUGAAGUAGACCGCCUGGGGAGUACGGUCGCAAGAUUAAAACUCAAAGGAAUUGACGGGGACCCGCACAAGCGGUGGAUGAUGUGGAUUAAUUCGAUGCAACGCGAAAAACCUUACCUACCCUUGACAUGUCUGGAAUCCUUGAGAGAUCAGGGAGUGCUCGAAAGAGAAUCAGAACGCAGGUGCUGCAUGGCUGUCGUCAGCUCGUGUCGUGAGAUGUUGGGUUAAGUCCCGCAACGAGCGCAACCCUUGUCAUUAGUUGCUACGAAAGGGCACUCUAAUGAGACUGCCGGUGACAAACCGGAGGAAGGUGGGGAUGACGUCAAGUCCUCAUGGCCCUUAUGGGUAGGGCUUCACACGUCAUACAAUGGUACAUACAGAGGGCCGCCAACCCGCGAGGGGGAGCUAAUCCCAGAAAGUGUAUCGUAGUCCGGAUUGUAGUCUGCAACUCGACUACAUGAAGUUGGAAUCGCUAGUAAUCGCGGAUCAGCAUGUCGCGGUGAAUACGUUCCCGGGUCUUGUACACACCGCCCGUCACACCAUGGGAGCGGGUUUCACCAGAAGUGGGUAGCCUAACCGCAAGGAGGGCGCUCACCACGGUGGGAUUCGUGACUGGGGUGAAGUCGUAACAAGGUA